CCACUCGGCCACGGAAACUAUUGAAAAAUCUGCGUCAUCAGCACUGAGUAGCGGUUAAACCCCUUAUACCAGUCUUAACUCUGAAGUUACAAGAGUCCUCAUUUGAAAACUAUAUUCUCCAUCUUUGUUAUACUGACAUGUUUACUAUCUGUUGUCGUGUGUAUGAGUGAUGUGGUAACUAUUAGGUCGGAUGGAGAAUAUAUCGGGGAAUAUAUUCUGAUAAGUGUGUAUCGGAGAGAUUCUCCAGGUUAUGAAACAGACUGGAGUAUGUUGAAUAAAUACUAUAGGCCUAUGCCUGUCGCUAUAGGCAAUAUGAUGUGUAGUGCCUGCGAUUAUCUUCGUUCAAAAAGACAAAGAAGAAAGUGUGGGCAGAAAUUCUGCAUGAGAGUCAUCAGCUGAAAUACUUGCUGUACUUAGGAGGAGUGAGAAAAUAUGUACCGAAUGACAAAUACCCUCCUCAUUAUUCCAUGUGUAAACUGAAGAUAUUGAACAUUUUGUUAUAUCCAAGUUGUUAAUGUUGAAGUAGUGUGCACUUAAUGUCCGUUUGUAUCUACGUCCAUGUGUAGAUGCUCGCCUGAUAACGGUAUACAACUCGUGACACUGUUUACAGUACGUAAUGCACUCAUGCCUUGAAGUCUUGGCAUUGUAUAACUCUUAUUGUAACUGUUUGUCUGUGUGAAUGGAGACCUUCAUUGUUUGUGUCAAUAUUCAUAUAAUUAAAUUUUGUUUAAACCCUU